GGGGAAAUAGCUCAGUUGGUUAGAGUGCUGGUCUGUCACGCCAGAAGUCGCGGGUUCGAACCCCGUUUUCCCCG
rnacentral:ncRNA from 12 species